GACAAUGGCUAUGUGGAUGUGACUUAGAUCUGAAGAACUGUUUUCCCUUGCUUCUUCAAGCAUAUUUUGUAUGUUAUGGCACAUUGUGACUGUUAAUUUUGUACUAAUAAAAAGGAAUAAUGACGUAUAUACAAUAAUUAGUACAAUAAAUAGCAUAAAAUUUAUAAGAGAGAAGAAAUUUAAAAAGUAUCUUGCAGUAUUUUUUAUUAUUAAUUAUUAUUAUUAUUAUUAUUAUUUGUGUAGUGAAAUUUUUUGGUUCUCUGUGUACUAAGUGUAAUACUAAGCUAAAAUGUGUGGUAAUUUCCGUAAAGAGUUUUGGGUGAGGAUCGAUUAUUACUAUUUUUGAACAAAGUCUAGAUGGUAAUUACUAAGCAAUCUGCGGGAUCGCAAGUUGGAUACUAACCAAGCGACCUUAUAAUGAUUGACAAUAAUAUGAGCAAAUAGGACAUGACAAUAUAAUAUGAGCAAAUCAUUUAAAACUUAUACUAUUAGGCAGCAAAUUGCCUGCACAAGUUUUUUGGAGUCAGCAAAUUGCCUGUAAUAGGUUUUCGGAGUCGAGGGGAGCAUGCACGUGCAAACGUAAGUCCAUUUUGGUUCUUGAUGCCAACUUCACGAACUAAAAAUACAACUGACUUGAGAACGAAAAGUUUUUAUUAUUGCAAAGUGGAUGCCAAAAACAACUAUAGGAAACAAGUACGAUUUGAAAACCGUAUGAUAUAAUUUUCACUAACGUAUACAGAGAUUAACAUCACUAGUAGCUAUACAUCAUAACUCAGUAACUGAAACUCAACUCAUCAUCUACCACGGACUAGGAUUCACCCAACAAGGUGGUGGCAGAAUCUUGAGCUGAUGAGUAUGUAAAAAUGACUCAACAUUUCUGUUCUCCAAGCUAAAAACUCCCAUGUCGUGUCCGGCGUACAAAUAAUCUUCAUCCAUUCGAUCCCAAUAAUCAUCUGUAAAGUAAAUCGAAUUCUGUUUGUAUAUAGUAGAAGAUGAAGAUAUUGAGACUGAUGUGGAUUGAUUUGCACCCAAAAACAGCGAUUCGUCGCCCAAAGAACCUACCUCCACCCAACUCUUCUGACCCAAAUCCAGCUUAUAGACAUGAAAGACUAGAGUUUUGUAUGGACAAACCAAAGGGUGCGUGUCUUCUUCAGUCAACAAAUCAUGCUCAUGAACAGGCUCAUCAUCUGCAUUUACUAGCUCUCCUACAAAUCUCGCUGCAAGCAUAGUAUCUCCCUUUGUUGACUGCACCAAGUACAAUCUAGCAUUAUAAAGAUCUCUGAAUUCACCCCAAAACUGCCCUGAUUUCUCUGGAUAACUCACCUCAACCUCCAUUGUUUUAAUUGGCUUGUUCAAUCCAUCAAAAUCCUAACAUUCGACUGAAGCGUUGCUGCCAAUUGCAUAAAGCUGAUUUCUGCUGCAUAUGAUGUCUUCAUAAGGCUGAUGCUUGCCAUCAAGGUCAGUCCAGGAAUUAUCUCCAUUCUGGCAGUAAGCAAUCUUCUUUUUAUGGCCACAAAUGACCACUGCUCCAAAGUUGUUGAUGUUGAGACACGGGUCGGAUGAAAGAAUUGCUUUGUGGAUGAGACUUUCACGCAAAUUAUUCAUGUAACGAAUUGGGUUCUUCUGAUAAUCAUAAGUGAUGUAGUAUCCGUUUUCUUGAGAUUUCUCAAUGUCGAGUACACCAAGAAGAGGACCAAUGCAAGGAAGCUGUGCAUGACGAAUCCGCAGAGAAGGGUUAAAGAGCAAAGGAAAAGCUCUUUCAUCCAAGAAAAUCAGCCAACCGUGCGAAGAACCAAUGCAACAAUUCUCAGUAAACUCCUCAGGCACAAUCUCCGAAGCACCGUUACCAUCCGUUCCGUCCUCUUGAGGAAAAAGCUUCAGCGCCGGAGCUUGAGGAGGCUGAUUCUGAGACUUGAAGCUUAUGAAAGAUUUUGCUGUCUGAAACCAGUGCGAGCAAACGGAUUCGGAGACCAGAACAUCCGGGAAAGACAAGUGCUCAAAGAUUGAAUCCAGAAUUUCACUCGGAAUCUCUGCCCACUUCGAUGAUGUAAAGUUACAUAUCUUUCUCUUGAAGCAAGCCAUAACUAGAGUGUUUGCCGUGUAUAGAGAGUUUCUUUUCUAGAGUGAUGAAUAUAAUAGUGAAACGAGCAAAUGGGUGACUAGUAUGAUUUAUAGAUCAGUUGAAGCAUGUUACCUUGUUCAUAAAGGAAAGAGGCUUCCAAAAUAGUUUUAGGAACUAACUUGGAUUAGGAAUUCACAAUGCCCUUUUGGGUAAGGAAAUGGAAAUUAAAUAAUUAAGAGGCUUUAAAAUUAGAAACGGUGAAGGAUUUUGUUAGUAUACUUUUCCUUUUACGACUGGGAUAUGCAAUUGACUGGUUUUUGGUUUGGUAAGUGCAUAUGGGUCAAAUUGCUCGGAGUUAUUGGCGUGCAGCGGACGCUUUUUGCCCUUGGAGUUAACGUAACAGUUAUGUGGUUACCUUAAGAAGCAAGAAACAUUUUCUUCUAUUUCAGGAUACUGGGAACAAAAAAUAUUCAGGUUUCCAAUAGAUAAAUGUUCUUGUACUUGUGAUACGCGUUCUAAUCCUUUCCAAAUAAAUAUAUAAUGAAUUUUGCAAUUUGCUUCGGUCCUUGCUACGUAAUUUAUGGUCUUAUUACCUCCAGUUUUUAAGAUAAGAUAAUUAUUCAUUCCACUUAUCAAUUUUGAACAAUGCUACUUACUAUAGAUAAACAUUCUAGAAUUACAUAACAAACAGGGGAGAUGUAGGAGUGAAAUUUUGAUUGAAUAGGUUUCUUAACACGUUCUCAUUAUGGACAUAAAGGCAAUAAUUAAUCGUAAACUUUAACUUAUUUAAGGUAAAACUAAGAACAGCGGAGUAGGUCUCGCCUUUAUUUUGUAGAUUUUCGAGCUUAGCUCUUUAGAGCCGGCCUAUUGCCGUGAUUGUAGAAACUUAAACAGUUUGGUUUCCUUGAUUGUAAUAUAAUAAGAGAGGCAACAUAUUAGAGCCUCGAGUAUUGCGGUUUGCUGAUGAUUUAGAAUAGCUGGAAAUGACCCUCAAGUAAAAGCAAGAAGUAUGUGUGUAAUUGAACAAAGAGAGGCUGUAAUCGUAUAGAUUCUGUUCAAUUGCUGUUAUUAUAUAAAGUAAUACGCCUUUUUGGAAACUUGGGAAAUAUUUAUCAAGUAAUCAAGUUCUCUAUAUUUCGGGAAUCAAAAUUGUCAAUAUUUUAGAAACAUGACAAUGCAAUAAAAUUCCAAAUAAUUCUGAAAAACAAGUAACUAAUAGUAGUAUUAUAACACACAUGCAAAAGCUAGAUUUAAUAAUUUUUUUUUUUCAAAUGAAACCAUCCAGCACUAGUACAAUAGCAGUAGUAUCAGUUCUGGCCACUCUAUACAACCUUCACACAGUAGGCAAGAAAUACAUUCAUUUUUUCCAUUUUUACAAUUGAUAACCCAGCAAGAACCACCAAGCUACUUGUAUUUGGCAUGAUUACAUAAAGACAGUGGAUUAAUAAUCUAGAAAAAACAAAAAACAAAAGUCUCAAACCUAUAGUUAGCUUGAGCAAAAGAUGAUGCAUCAUCUCAAAAGCCUUGCCUUUCCAAAAGGUGUUGUAUAAUCUAAUCUCUCAAAAGAAUUAGUUAACGGGAUUAGGUAAGUCUGCCUUCCUUUAUCAUUACACUAUUAAUUGAUCUGCCAUAUGCUGGAUGCUCUAACUGUUUCAGUUUCAUUCUUGAGUGAGUUGUCCUAAAUGAUUAAAAGAACAAACAUAAAGAGUUAAUAUUAGUUAUAAAAGUAGUUAAGUAAUCAAAUUAAAAGAUGAAACCAAAAUUUAAAGGAAACCGAGUUCACCAUUGUCAAAGACAGUGGACUGUGAUGUAGCCACUUCAGUCGUAGUUUGUUGGGGCCUUAGACUUCCUUCUCCAUUCUUCCUCUGAAUCAGACAAUGACAAAAAAUUAGGCAUUUUAUGCUGCAAUUAUAUAAGAAAUCAUUAGUAAAUAGCUUAAAUUUGACUAACCUUUUUGCUUGAUUGCUUUUCACUUUGGUAGGUCCUUUUAUUGUGUCCCCAGUGGUUGCAUCUGGAGCACCUUAGACUACAGCUUCUCUUGAAUGCAACAGGUUCAUCAGCCUCCCUCUGUCUCUUGUUCUGUGGCCUCCCAGCAGAUUUGGUUACAAGUGGUGGCUGUAGAUUGUCAGUCAGCACCAAUGGCCAUUUAGUCUCAUCUGGCACAGGCUUGAAUUGGUGCUGGUAAGUGCCUAAAAAAGAAGUCUUCUUCAAGUAAUUGUGCACAUAAUCCUCAACUUUCAACCUUUUCGCAUCAAUAGAACAUAUUGCGUGUUUACAAGGUAGCCCCAAGAUUUGCCACUCCCCACAAUCGCACUUCUUAUUACCAAUGUCAACAACAAAUGCUUUAGAUGCAUCUUCGAAUACUUCAAAUGUGUUUUCAUGCCCAAAAAUAACAGACAACCCUCUUGCCUCCAUCCUUGCCUCAACCAUUUUUCUCCUCACCAAUGGUGGCAGCUCCUCAUUCCAUCUUUUAGUAGCUUCAUGCCUUGUAUGAAUCAACCUCAUAAUCUUCCUCUUUAUUUCUUCUAACAUCCUCACAACAGGCAUCACUCUGUAGCCAUUAAUCUAAUUAUUGAAAGAUUCGGUCAUGUUAUUAGUCACAUGUGCGCAUUUUGUGAAGGGUGGGAAUGUAUGCUUGACCCAAUGCUGGAUAGGUAUCUCCAUUAGCCAUUUAUGGCCGGAACUACUAAUUGCUUUCAACUUCUCCAUUUGCUCAUUGAACUCAGUACAAUUUGGGCUGCUACAAGCCCUCCAGAAUGUCUUCUUCAAUAAUAAACCAGGAAACUUCAUUUUGAAGUUGGCAUAGAUAUGCCUGCAGCAGUACCUCUUUAAUUUGCUCAUAUAAUUUUUCCAUAAAAUACACCCAAGAGUUAGUAUUUUCAUUUUCGACAAUGCACAUUGCAGGGGGAUAUAUCCCAAAAUUAGCAUCAAUGCUGACAGCAAUUACUAAUACUCAUUUGUAAGGACCUUUGAGGUGACAACCAUCGACUCCUACAAACUGUCUACAUCCCUCGAAAAAACCUCGUCUACUACCAUCAAUGAACAUGAAGAACCUCUUAAAAACUGGAUUUGCAGCACCACCAAGCCAAUCCCUUUCUAAAGAGACAGUAGAUCCAAGAUUGGUUUCCAACAGAGCAUGCAUAUAUCGAAAGAGUUUGCUGUAACUCUUCUCAUGGUCCUGCCCCAGCAGCUCCAUUGCCUUGUUUUUAGCUCUGUACAGCAUGUGCAAACUACAUUCAAACCCAUAUUUUUUAAACAUAUCAGCAGCAAUCACCUUCACACUAAUAUCAGGAGUUGCUUUGAAUACAUGUAAGUACUGGGCUGCAAUCCAAGCUGGACUUGCUUCACGGUUAUUAACAUCAUCUCUUGCACAUGUAUGCUCAGGACAGUAGGUCUUACAUCCGCCUUGGCCGUACAGCAGAUGCAAUAAAAUUCCAAAUAAUUCUGAAAAACAAGUAACUAAUAGUAGUAUUAUAACACACAUGCAAAAGCUAGAUUUAAUAAUUUUUUUUUUUUUCAUCACUAGGUUUCGGUACUACAUUACCAAGAUACUUUGCUACAUUUUCUGUAUCAUCAGUACUUGAAGGUGAAAUCUUAUUCUCUAGCACUGAUACUGAAUUUUCAGGAUGCAUAUUUGAAUUAAGAGCAGAAAAUUUGGCCAAGAUUUCUUCAUCAGCAAAACCAGACCAAUCCAUGUCAGGUUCAAGGUUUAAGUUAACAGAAACUUGAUUUGCAGGAGUGCAAAAAUCUAUGGAAUUAUCAUUGCUACUGAUUGGAUGAUCAAAUGAUUUAUAAGUUGGUUUUAGACCAAUAGAAGUAUUCACAAUAAACCUAGCCCAACGAUAUUCUUUUUCCCUCAACUUUUGAAAUGCAUCUUGCAUGUCAUUAUCAUUAAACAUGUUCUGGUACUCAGAAGACCAAGAGAGCAUCACUUUGUACUCCCUUGUAGAUGCAUACCUGAUAGGUGUAUCAUAACAUAUGUCAAUGAUGUCUGCCCACAACUUAGUUAGGGUGUACUUAUCAGGUAGAACACUACCAAUCUCAAUUACUGAGCCAUCAACUACAGCUCUAACAUAAAAGAAAACACAGCUGCAAGUGGUCAUCAACAUAUGCAUUAGAGACAAUGAUAGCAAAUAGGUAAAAAUUCCUGCUGUACCGUACAUCCGCCUUGGCCGUACAGCAGUCUAAUAAAUAGAGAAAUUUUCUUUCAUAUUUGAUAGAACACUACCAAUCUCAAUUACUGAGCCAUCAACUACAGCUCUAACAUAAAAGAAAACACAGCUGCAAGUGGUCAUCAACAUAUGCAUUAGAGACAAUGAUAGCAAAUAGGUAAAAAUUCCAUCGUUUGACAACAAAAACAGUGUCCCAUAAACCAAGUGCAGUUCAAGUUAUACCAAGUGCAGUUCAAGUUCUUACAUUAAUCAAGUGAGCAGAAUUUCUGUGCAGAAGGGGCGUCUUUGGGAAUUCAACUGUACUGCAUGAGAUCGAAUUAAUUUUCGAGCCAUACAUCAUUGGAAAGAUAUUUCUGUUAGCUUUCCAAUGAAUUUUACUAAUCUAAAUUUCUAAUUUCAAUUUUGAUUUUACCUAAGCCAUGUAUAUAAAUUACAAUAUCUUUUUGAGUUAUCUAUAAAUAAAAAGUAGAUAAGAGUGUGUUUUCAAACAACUCACCUAUAAUUUGCUUCGACAUAGAUGUUCGUGCUUGUGGGUCGCCGGCGAAACUCACUGCGAUACAUCGUGGACCAGUGGUUCAUGCUUGUGGUUUGUGCUUCAAUACGGUCCUUUGCAGAGACAAGAAGUAAAGUAGCUUCUGGAAUGUUUCACAAUAAACAAAUGGACUUGAACUAAGCUCUGAAAUGAUCUUCAACGACAGAUGAGAUGAGCAUUAUCAUACAAAUCAGCCACAUCCUCAAAUCAAAACCACCGCUGCAGGUGCUGCUACUCGUUGCCACUGUAAGCUACUGCUCGUCAAUUUGGUAAUCCUCUGUGAUGAUCAGAAAUCGUCUUUGUAUCCAGGGUUUUAUACAAUGAUGGUGGUGGUCAUAUUUGUUUUUGCUUUCAUUUUUUGUUUUUAGUUUUUAAGAUUAUUAAAAAAAAAUGAUAGCAAAGAGAUGCAUUGUUUGAAACGAAACCAAACUUCUUUUUGCAAGUUUGGUUUUUAUUUGUGUUAGAACAUCAGUAACUGAAAUGACUAGCUACUAUUCUCAAGGCAACGAAAGUUGCAAAAGAUUUGUUUUAUUGCGAAAUGUCAACAAUGCCCACAACUACCCAAACGGCAACCAAACGGAGCAAAAACGUAGGGGGUCUUUUACAAAUAAACGGAUUCUCGCCAUCUACUUGCCCAUAUGGUAUUAUUAGUUAAUUGAACAAAAAAUAAUUAAAAACACUAAUUCACUAUAUAGUGUAUUCUUAGAUGUGGGUGCCCUAAUUUGUUCUAAUCGAACACGCUGUUAAACCAUGUAGUUUAAUAGAGUUAUUUUAAUGUAUUAUAAAAUUGUGUAGUUUAAUAACAUUAAAAUUUGACUUUAUUAAAUUGCAUGGCUUGAAAGUAUGUUUAUAUUAAAAAAAUGAGAGCACUAACACUAAAGAAAGAAUAUAUAUAAACUUUCUUUGGAUGGCUGAAAUUGCAAGCAUAAACUUUCUUUAAUGGAUUUUCAAUGUUCUCACAUGUUUAGAGAGAAUAACUGUGCUAUAAUUAUAUUGCUAAUUUGGGUCUCCUACGUGAUAAUUUAUUUUGGUGGCAAAUGCCUCUGUUAAAAUUUAUUAGUUUUUAUCUCCAGAAGGAAAUGGUCUCCUAUUGGAGAAUUUCUUUUCAAGGUAUAUUCAACUAUUGCUUUACUUAAGGUAAGACUCAAUAUGUACCUUCAGUAACUGAUAUUGUUCGUUCUUUUUAUUUAUUUUAAUAAACUUGAUCGCUUAGUAGAGGUUCAUUUCAGAAAUAAAAAUAAAAAUAAAAUAAACACACCGAUCAUAAUAGAAAGAAGAAAAACAAGUACUUGAAGCCCGCAAUUACCCCACGGCAGACAAAUAUUAUAUGAUAGUGAUGGCUUUAGGUAGAUUAAUGAAGUGCUCUUCCAUCAUCCUCUAGGAUUGUAUCUUUAAAAGAUUUAUCAUAAGGAAUCAUAGGCACAACAUGCUCUUGAUAGGAAACCAUCACAUCCAGUAAGUACGGUCCUGGAGUUUCUAGCAUUAACUGAAUAGCAGCUCUAACAUCUUUCUUUUUUGUCACUCGAGCUGCAGGAAUCCCACAGGCUUCCGCAAAUUUCAACAUAUCUGGAAAUAUUUCAGACUUUCUUAAUGGAUCUCCCAGAAACGAGUUAGCUCUAUUUGCUUCAAAAUACCGAUCCUCGUAUUCCACAUUCAUGCCCAAGUAUUGAUUAUUUAUCAGCAAUAUCUUAACAGGGAUAUUCUCAGCCUUGAUGGCAGCCAAUUCUUGUAGAUUCAUAAUGAAACUUCCAUCACCAUCGAUGUCUACAACGAUUGCUCCUGGGUUAGCAACAGCAGCUCCCAUAGCAGCAGGCAGUCCAAAGCCCAUGGAUCCAAAUCCUGAGGACGUUAACAGUUGGCGAGCCCUCUUAUACAUGUAAAACUGAAUAGCCCACAUUUGAUGUUGUCCUACUCCUGUACUUAUAAUUGUUUCUUCAUCAUCAGUCAACUCAUUAAGAAUUUGAAUCGCGUACUGAGGUGGAAUCUCUUCCCCAAAUGUCUUAUAACUGAAUGGAUAUUUCUUUUUUUGCUCAUGAAGCUCCUCCCUCCAAGCUGAAAAAUCAAACAUAAAUCCAACUCCUUUACUUUCCAAUAUCAUAUUCAUCCUAUUAAACACCAACUUUGCAUCCGCACAAAUGGACACGUCAGGCAGCUUAACCUUCCCAAUCUCAUUGGAAUCAAUAUCAAUAUGAACAAUCUUAGCUCGGGUUGCAAAAUCCUCAAGCUUUGAUGUCAUACGUUCAUUAAACCUAACCCCAGCAGCAAGGAGCAAGUCACAUUCAUUCACAGCAUAGUUAGCAUAAACAGUUCCGAACAUUCCUACCAUCCGCAAACAUAACUCAUCUGUACAAGGAAACAACCCUAGACCCAUCGUUGUGCAUGUUACUGGUAUACCCGUCAGCCCAACAAACUUCCUUAACUCCUCACUAGAGUUCAAACAGCCACCACCUACACAUAACACAGGAUUCUUCGACUCCACAAUUAACUUUAAAGUCUGCCGCAAGGCUAACUCAUCCGGCUCUUUAGGUAAACUAGAAAUGCAACUAGGUAACUUACAUGGCUGGUUCCAAUUCGGAACAGCUAGCUCUAGUUGUACAUCCACUGGUAUAUCGAUUAAGACAGGGCCUGGCCGGCCUGAUGUUGCUAAGAAGAAUGCCUCCUUGAUGAUCCUAGGAAUGUCAUCGACAUCAAGGACAAGAUAAUUGUGUUUUGUCAUAUAGCGGGUCACCUCCACUACAGGGGUUUCUUGAAAUGCGUCAGUACCCAAGAGUUUUUGGGAAACCUGACCAGUGAUGGCCAAAAUGGGGAUACUGUCAGAAUAGGCAUCCAUGAGGCCAGUCAUUAUAUUGGUGACGCCAGGUCCAGACGAAACAAGACAGACGCCAGGUGUUCCGGAGGAGCGGGCAUAGCCUUCUGCAGCGAAGAUACCACCUUGUUCAUGGCGAGGGAGAAUGCUCCGGAUGUCGGAGCGCGUGAGAGAUUGGUGGAUCUCAAUGGACGCGCCACCAGGAUAAGCAAAGACUGUGGUGACACCUUGGCGUUCCAGGGCUUCCACGAUAAUGUCAGCACCUUUUCGAGGCUUGUCUGGAGCAAAUCUGGAAGCAAAAUCUGUUUGUUGGAAUGGCGCGGUACUGGUUGGUAUAUUGAGAGUAUUGUUCGUGACGUGGAGGCUGGGCUUUUUGAUCCGAUUAUAAGAAUAAGGAAGCGGCAUAAGCGGUCGGGAUAUUGUCGGUGGAGAUUUGGGGGUGUUGAAGAUGAACGGCGGGGAUAAGGUGGUUGCCAUUAAUGCAAGUGCUGCAAGGAACUUGGAGAAGCUAUAGUUGCUGCUAAAGAUACAUAGUUACUAUGUCCGCAAUGCUAUAUAUAAAAAAAUGUUUCACGUGGUUCGCUCUUCUUUUGAAAAUACAACACGUUUUUUUAUUACUUUUUUAAAUGAAUUCUCAACAUUUUCUUCCAACGGAUUAGGAUUCCACCUGUUUCUGCUUAGUAAAAUUAUUGAUGGAUCUGAUUGAUAGUUAAUAGAUAAAAAUAUGAGAUUAGUUUAAUACUAGUCAUAUACUCGGGGCGUGCUCAUUAAAAUUUUAUUACUUAGGAAAAUUUUCAAAAUUAGGCCAUUUUAUUUAACAUAAAAUCCAUGAUAUUGAUUGAAACUUUUGUGAUAAAUAUGUACUUUAAGAUGUAGUUUUCAGGUACAAAAUCCUUAUUAGAUUUUGUACAAAUAUCAAUUUUGAACUUUUUCUCUUGGUUAUACUCAAAUUCAAGUAUGUCUAAUUUUUAGAUAUUAUAAAGAACAAGAGAUUGUGUUUUCUUUCAAGUGGAUAAGCUGUUAAGCAAAUAAGUUAUCUGGGAAUUUCACUUUCCAAAUCGAGAAUAAUUUUUCACAAAAUCUUAGUGGAGCCUAAAUUUGAGUAAGAUUAAAUGAUAAAUAAUAGACAAAUAUUGAAAUUCCAUUUUUUAAACAAGAAAAAAAUGCAAACAAAUUUAGAAAAGAAAAACUUUUUUUUUCUUUCAAAAAGAUAGUGUGAUAUAGAGGGAAAGGCGAUUAAACAACAUGAAAUAUCUUGUCGAAAUUAAUACGUUCAAAUCUCCAAUGCCUUGACCUUUCAUGAUAUUAUGAGAAUUAAAUGAGAACCUCUCUUGAAUAACUGUUGAUGUGAGUUAUCUUAACAAAGCCUUUAAAAAUUUUGUGUCAUAUGCCUAUUAUUAAAGAUAAUAAACUCCUACGCCCAUUCCGAUGAUGAGAAUCCUCCACUUGAUGUAAAUGAAGCAUGUUCCAACUAACCCAAUCAAAAGCCUGUUGGCAAUAGUGUAUCAGGAGUAGCUUUAGAGCUGGCAAAAUUUGACACGACCCGAUUACCCGACACGAACACGACAUAAAUAAAUGGGUAUGGGUCGUCAAAUUUAACAUGAUUAUUAAAUGGGUCGGGUCCGGGUCAACACGAUUUUUUUCCGUGUCGGGUUAGGGUUAAAAUUCUUGACCCAUUUACCCGAUCAAUGACCCGAUUAUAUUUUCUAUUUUAAAAUAAUUUACAUAUUCUUAUCAUUAAAACUCAAAUAUUAGAAAUGAUUUUCUUUUUUUUAUUCUUUAAAAGGGUGAAUAUAAAUACAAUGUUUUAUUUAUAAAAUUUUAAAUACAUUUAGAGCUUCAAUAGUGUAAAUGUGUAAAAAUUGAUAGACAUGUAUAUUUUAUAAUAUUGAUAUAUAAUUAUAUAUAUAUAUAAUUAAAACCUCAAUAGUGUAAAUGUGUAAUAUAUUGGUAGAUAUGUAUAUUUUAUAAUAUCAAUAAAUUAUGUAUGUAUGUAUGUAUGUAUGUAUGUAUGUACAUACGUAUGUAUGAUAGUGUGUAAAUAUUUUAUGUAACUUUUGUUCAAUAUAUAGAUAUUAAACAGGGUUAUUGGAUAACCCGAUUAUUUUUCCGUGUCGGGUUUGGGUCUCAAUAUUUUGACACGAUUAUUAAAUGGGUCGGGUUUGGGUCGACCUAAAUUUGACACGACAACGACCCGAUGACUCGUUUUGCCAGCUCUAAGUAGCUUAACCCUUAAUACAAUUUCGGCAACUGCUAGGGUCUCUCUUAAAAUUAAGGCCCCAACCCCAUCUUAGCACAUAUUCUCAAUAAUAAAAGAUUAUUUUACAAUUAUUUUAUUGUUUAAAAAUUGAAUUAUUAUAUUUGUGAACCCGUGUUUAAGUGUGAAGUCCAUAUGAAAUUUUUAUCCGAAAGAAACUAAAAUACUCAAAAAAAUACGAACUCCAAUACACUAAAAGUCGAAAAUUUUAUUUUCUUGUUUAAAACAUCAAAUUUCAAUAUUUGUCCAUCAUUUACAAUAAAAUAUUAUUUGAAUUUAGGCCCCACCAAGAUUUUAUUUGUUUAAUGACUUCUCUACCUGAAAAAGAAUUGUUCAAGGCAAUACUUGUUUCCUUCAAACUAAAACACAAGCUCUUAUUCUUUAUAAUCGCUGAAAAUUACACAUACGUGAACAUAACCAAGAAAAAAACUUCGAAAUUAACAUCUUGUAAAAAAUCUGAUAAGGAUUUUAUAUCUAAAAAAUAAAUCUUAAAUACAUAUUUAUCACAAUCAGUAUCAUUAAUUUUAAGGACUUGACUAGCUUACAGAAUCUGUAAGCUACAGACUGCAGCAUCAGCCGUUGGAUGUGGUUGGAAGUGGAGUGAGAAACUAAACAAUAGAAGAUCGGAUGGUGGGAUGACGGGAGAUGUUUGUUACAGAAUCUGUACCAUAGACAGGUCCUAAUUUUAAUGUAAAUAAAAUUGCCUAAUUUUGAAAUUUUCCCGAAGGCCUAAAUUUUAUUGAGCCGCCCCAACCUGUUAUGAAUCCUGUGAUAUAUUGUGUGGUUUAAAAAAAAAAAAAGAGAGAAAACAAAGAAAGUCAACAAGCCCCAGCAAGCUGAUAGUCGAGGAAUUUAAAUUAGAGUAAUUAUUUCAGUGCCCCGGUGACUUUCACUUGACUGUGACAUAUAUAAUUCAGGAUAAUAAUUAUUUCCAAAGAUGUGAAUUUAAAACUCAAAAAAGAAAAAGUAUUUUUUGACAGUAACGGAGUAAAUGCAGAAGUGUUUUGAAGUAUUCUAAAAAAAUUAUAAGGACAAAGAGACAAUUGGAGCAAACUUAAGGGGUGAAAAGGAAAUUUAUCCUUAUAUAAACCAAACCCUUCUUGCCUUUUCUAAACCAAACCUUUCUUGCCUUUUCUUCUGAAUCAUUGCCAAAACGACAAUCAGCUAUCCGUUUUUGCCACUCUUCUUCUUAUUCUGUCUCACUGUCGCGGCAGCAAAUACAGCUUAACCGACGAUACCUGGAACCGAACCCACCAAUGGCUGCAUGCAACCCAUGGAACGGAGGCCGGUCCGGCGAGAGGUGUACGGAAGGAUCUAUGACAUCACCCACCGUAUCACAAACUGCAUGCCGGUAUAUGCAGAUCAGGUUGAUGGAGUCGGGGUACUCUUAUGGCUUACUGACUGUACGAAGAACGGCUCGUUGAGUAAUAUUUCGGAGCUGAGAUUCACGUCACAUACGGGAACACAUACUGAUGCCCUGGCCAUGUUUUUGAUCAUUAUUAUGAUGCUGGCUUUGAUGCCGAUGCUGUUGAUUUGGAAGUUUCGAACGGUAAUUAUGUUUUAUCCUCAGCAUAUAUAACGGAGCAAUCACAUUUAAACAGAAAAUUUAGACGGUAAUCGGUGAUAAAUCGAUCUUGGUUUUUACACUUAAUAGAAAAUAAAGUAAAAUCGAUGAAAUUUAUCACUAUUUCUGACAACUCUAUUAAUACACUAUAUCUCUUUAUUUUUUGCCAUAUAAUAUUAAUAUUAUUAUAAGCUUUCGGCUCCAAUCAAGAAAGCAUCUUCUUUCCCGUUCAAUUUACCACACACACACACACACAUAUACAUAUAGUAAUACAAAUAUUUUAAUCUUGGAUCUUAGACUUUGUCAAAGUCUGAGAUUAUAUUAUUAAACUAUAUGUCCUAAUAUUUUUUCUAAAUUUUAAUAAAGUUUAAGAUUUUUAACCAGACCAAUACUCUAUAUCAUACUAUUGAAAUAUAUUAAAUUUUUAUUUUUUAAAUUUUUAUUGAAAUAUACUUAAUUUUUAUUCUAUUUUUUUUUAUUUUUUCAAUGGAGUUUAAUUAUAUUGAAUGAAGUUAAAAUAAUGGCAGACACAAAUUAAAGUGUCAGUUGAGAAAGAAAAUCUAACACGUAAUCACAAAAUCACGAUUAAUGAAAUCAUAUUAACCGAUUGCGGUUGGCAUAGUAGAGUAUUUAGUUAUGUAACCACCAAAUUGUUAAGUCCAAAUUAAAUCUUUAAUCCCAUACCUCUCUAAAAUUUGAACAUUGUUCAAAAAGAAAAGUCAUUGGGGGCAAAUAGUCAUAUAGAGCUCUAAAUUUUUAAUAAGGGAUAUUAAGACCCCUUUUAACUAUUAUACCCUUUAAAAAUAGUAACUAAGAAAAUUAACUUUAAAUUGUUUUAUAAACAAACAUAUAAUUUAAAUAGUUUAAUUUGUCUAGUAAACUAAUAAUAUUAGAAUGUUUUUAAUAUAUUUAUAAUGGAUAUUAUUAUAAUUAUUUUAAUAAUGUAUUUUUAUAUAUUAUAAAUAUUUUAAGUAAAUCUUUGGGUUAAAUAUAUUUUACAAUUAAUAAAAUAUAUCUCAUAUAUUAAUAAUAUUAAAAUUAGUUUAUACAAUAUUGAAAUAAUUUAAAUUUUAAUAUUACGUUUCUAUUUAUUAUAAAAUUUAGUUUAAUAUUUAUUAUAAGGCGUUGGAGUCAACUUUUAUAAGUUAAUAAAGUUAAAGGGUAUUACAGUUAAAAGAGAGUGUUGGUAUCUCUUAUUGAAAACAUUAGAGUUUAAAAGAUUAUUUCCUCAAACCUUAGGACAUAAGUGUUCUUUUCCCUAAGAUUUGUAAUAAAUUUGUUUUAAAUUCAAUGUUUUAUUAUUUGCGGGACCUACAAAACCCCUGCUGAUGAAUUACUUAUUUGCAGCCAACUGUACAUUAAUUAUAUGUAGAUUGUGCUCAAUUUUGACCCAAAAUCCUUCUAAUAAUUCAUAGAAAAAAAAUAACACUACACAUACAAUCAUUUUGACACACCAAGACAUACAUAUGUGCCACAGAUUUUGUUGCGAAUUGUUUGCCAGUGAAAUUAAUUGUUCAAUUUUUUUUGAAUGUCGACGGUAAUUGCUAAUUGCUGGGUGACAUAUAUAUAGGCCCUGGCCUAUUAUUAGUUGAUGUUCCAAGAGAUAAAAACAUAUCAGGUGCGUAGUCUGAUCCUUUUCAUUCAAUUUCUGGUUAUAAAUUAUAAUUUUACUUUAAUCCGUUGAAUAAUUUUUUCAAAUUUAGUGAUCAUAUUGAUUGAUUAGUUAAUUUGAUGAAAAAAUUAUUCUUUGUCAUCUCACCAACUGGUCACUGAUUUCUUUAACUAUUAAUCUGUAUAUUAAUUUUUGUAUUGUAUACACACACACAUAGAGUCCUGCUCAGGUACGGUUGUGUAAAUAUUUACACAAAUGUCGUGCAGUCCUUUUAUGGCUUACAACAUUUUACUAGUCGUAAAAGUGUUCAUUUGCAUGAAAAUUUGUGCAGUCAUCUAUAUAUAUAUAUAUAUAUAUUAUUGAGGGGCUUGGCUUAAGAUUUAUAGGGUAUCCAAUAAAAAAAAAUUACCCAAUAAAAUUACCCUAUUGGGUGAAGUGAUUUAUUCUCCUUAUAAACCUAAAUAUAUUUUUUUAACUGAAAAAUAUGAUUAUAGUUAUAGGUAUCCAACUCGAAAGACUAACCAAUUGGGUGGAGUGACCUAUUCUCUUUAUAAACCUAAGUAUCUCUCCUUUACUAACCAAUGUGGACACAACUCAACAAUUCAUUUAUUAGUCAUGAGCUUCGCACGUGAUACUUUUGUUUUUCAUUCAGCUCUAAAACGACAUCAAUUCUAGCCGUCCUGAGCAAGAAUAAGUGAUUCAUGGGAAGAAGCACGUGACUUGAGAAUCUAAGCCGUUAGAAGUCUGCUGUACCGUACAUCCGCCUUGGCCGUACAGCAGGUUUAACUUUUCCUUUCACAUGUUCUUGCACAUACACAUAGAAUGACGACAAUAACCAAAAAUGAAAGGGAAAACAAGAAAGAAGUCCAUCUAAUUUGUAAAGUGCUUUUUCAGCCGAGCAAUCAACCUAUUUUGACUUACAACUGCAGUGUUCUAUAGGCUGCUUUCUCAUACUUCUAUUGUGCAACAUUUCAACCUAUCCUCUUUAUCACAACACAACCAAGGUUUUGUAGAUGCAUGGGAUGCAGCAUAAGUAAAUCUAACACAUAAUUGGGAAGGAGAAUUGGUUUUAAUGAGUUCAGAUAUACCAUCUUCAUGAUCAAUGUGGUUGAUUUAUCCCAGUUAUUUGUUAACAUCAUUACUUAAAUAUUUGAGUAACUCUUUGAAGGCUGUUUAUCAUUGCAGGUCUGUGUCUCCACGACAAAUAGGAACUUCCCUGGACGGAUGGGACACAAGGAAGGUCAAAUAUAUCUUGCUUCUCCAUACACAGCUGCAGCAUCUGCUUUGACUGGUUAUGUCACUGAUCCAAGGGAGUUCUUGGAGUAGACUGAUCAAAUGCUGAAUCGAUCACGUAUGUACACUAUGUGAUAUCAUAUUCUUCUUGCCGAGGGACAAUGGCUAUGUGGAUGUGACUUAGAUCUGAAGAACUGUUUUCCCUUG
rnacentral:lncRNA from 1 species